GGUCCUGACCAGCUCAACUGGUAGAGCAUGGCAUCAACGUUGCCAGGGUUGCGGGUUCGAUUCCCACUGGGACCUCCCA